AUACGGAGGAUGCAAGCGUUAUCCGGAUUUAUUGGGUUUAAAGGGUGCGUAGGCGGUUUGCUAAGCGGGAGGUGAAAUGCCGGCGCUCAACGUCGGAAGUGCCUCCCGAACUGGUGGACUUGAAUGACUCUGCCGUGGGAGGAAUGUGUAGUGUAGCGGUGAAAUGCUUAGAGAUUACACAGAACACCGAUUGCGAAGGCAUCUCACGAAGGGUUGAUUGACGCUGAGGCACGAAAGCGUGGGGAUCAAACAGGAUUAGAUACCCUGGUAGUCCACGCAGUAAACGAUGAUGGCUAACCGCUGGGCUUAUCAGUUCAGUGGCCAAGCGAAAGCGAUAAGCCAUCCACCUGGGGAGUACGACCGCAAGGUUGAAACUCAAAUGAAUUGACGGG
rnacentral:rRNA from 1 species